GUGAGGAAUAUUGGUCAAUGGGCGGAAGCCUGAACCAGCCAUGCCGCGUGAAGGAUGAAGGUUCUAUGGAUUGUAAACUUCUUUUAUUUGGGAAUAAACCCUCCGACGUGUUGGAGGCUGAAGGUACCAAAUGAAUAAGCACCGGCUAACUCCGUGCCAGCAGCAGCGGUAAUACGGAGGGUGCAAGCGUUAUCCGGAAUCAUUGGGUUUAAAGGGUCCGCAGGCGGAUUUAUAAGUCAGUGGUGAAAGCCUACAGCUCAACUGUAGAACUGCAAUUGAUACUGUAAGUCUUGAAUUCGGUCGAAGUGGGCGGAAUAUGACAUGUAGCUGUGAAAUGCAUAGAUAUGUCAUAGAACACCGAUAGCGAAGGCAGCUCACUAGGCCUGAAUUGACGCUCAUGGACGAAAGCGUGGGGAGCAAACAGGAUUAGAAACCCUGGUAGUCC
rnacentral:rRNA from 1 species